rnacentral:rRNA from 16 species
GAGUAACACGUGGAUAACCUACCUAUAAGACUGGGAUAACUUCGGGAAACCGGAGCUAAUACCGGAUAAUAUUUUGAACCGCAUGGUUCAAAAGUGAAAGACGGUCUUGCUGUCACUUAUAGAUGGAUCCGCGCUGCAUUAGCUAGUUGGUAAGGUAACGGCUUACCAAGGCAACGAUGCAUAGCCGACCUGAGAGGGUGAUCGGCCACACUGGAACUGAGACACGGUCCAGACUCCUACGGGAGGCAGCAGUAGGGAAUCUUCCGCAAUGGGCGAAAGCCUGACGGAGCAACGCCGCGUGAGUGAUGAAGGUCUUCGGAUCGUAAAACUCUGUUAUUAGGGAAGAACAUAUGUGUAAGUAACUGUGCACAUCUUGACGGUACCUAAUCAGAAAGCCACGGCUAACUACGUGCCAGCAGCCGCGGUAAUACGUAGGUGGCAAGCGUUAUCCGGAAUUAUUGGGCGUAAAGCGCGCGUAGGCGGUUUUUUAAGUCUGAUGUGAAAGCCCACGGCUCAACCGUGGAGGGUCAUUGGAAACUGGAAAACUUGAGUGCAGAAGAGGAAAGUGGAAUUCCAUGUGUAGCGGUGAAAUGCGCAGAGAUAUGGAGGAACACCAGUGGCGAAGGCGACUUUCUGGUCUGUAACUGACGCUGAUGUGCGAAAGCGUGGGGAUCAAACAGGAUUAGAUACCCUGGUAGUCCACGCCGUAAACGAUGAGUGCUAAGUGUUAGGGGGUUUCCGCCCCUUAGUGCUGCAGCUAACGCAUUAAGCACUCCGCCUGGGGAGUACGACCGCAAGGUUGAAACUCAAAGGAAUUGACGGGGACCCGCACAAGCGGUGGAGCAUGUGGUUUAAUUCGAAGCAACGCGAAGAACCUUACCAAAUCUUGACAUCCUUUGACAACUCUAGAGAUAGAGCCUUCCUCUUCGGGGGACAAAGUGACAGGUGGUGCAUGGUUGUCGUCAGCUCGUGUCGUGAGAUGUUGGGUUAAGUCCCGCAACGAGCGCAACCCUUAAGCUUAGUUGCCAUCAUUAAGUUGGGCACUCUAAGUUGACUGCCGGUGACAAACCGGAGGAAGGUGGGGAUGACGUCAAAUCAUCAUGCCCCUUAUGAUUUGGGCUACACACGUGCUACAAUGGACAAUACAAAGGGCAGCGAAACCGCGAGGUCAAGCAAAUCCCAUAAAGUUGUUCUCAGUUCGGAUUGUAGUCUGCAACUCGACUACAUGAAGCUGGAAUCGCUAGUAAUCGUAGAUCAGCAUGCUACGGUGAAUACGUUCCCGGGUCUUGUACACACCGCCCGUCACACCACGAGAGUUUGUAACACCCGAAGCCGGUGGAGUAACCUUUUAGGAGCUAGCCGUCGAAGGUGGGACAAAUGAUUGGGGUGAAGUCGUAACAAGGUAGCCGUAUCGGAAGGUGCGGCUGGAUCACCU